GGAGAGAGUUCUCAGGACUAUGAUGGCUGCUUUGAUUUAAGAAGACAAUACCAUUUCCAGACAUCUCUUUCCUGGGGCUAACUAUAUUAGUAUUCUGCCCUGAUGGGAAGGAAGAAACUUCAUGGGCAGUAAAUAGCCAAUUUAGAAGCAGGAGAAAUAUGAGAGAUAAAGAAUUAACAUUUUACAGAUGAAAUAAGAUGAGGCCCGAGAUUCAUUUGAAAUAAUCCAGGUAAUUGUGGAAAUGGAUAGGGGUGCAGAUGAAGCAAGAUUGUCCAUGUGUUGAUAAUUGUUUAAGAAGGAAAUUGGUAUAUGGAGGCUUAUUAUGCUAUUCUCUAUAUUUUUGAAUGUGCUAAAUAAUCUACAAUGAAGUGUUUUUGAAAAAGAUAUUGAAUAGCUAAUAGAGUAUUAGAAGGGCCAGAAAACAAAAGCAUAAGACCCAGCUUCUAGCAAUAAUGCAAAAUUAAGUCUCAGAAACACUUUCGUAAGGAAAACGCUGUAGCCACCACUAACCAUCAUUGGAGUCAUCUGCUCUUAUAGCAGAGCGAGAGACAGAGAAAGAGCCACUGCCAGAGAGCACAAGCAUACUCUCCACUCAUUCCCUCUCAGGAACUUUUGAGGAAAAAUCUGCGGCAGAUGCCUGUGGUUAUCAGAGCCUUUGCCAUAGCUUCAAGGGAGUCUGGGAAAGAGGGGAAAGUAAUCAUCUAGUAUUAUCUGUUCCAAUUACAAGGUUUCCUGUCCCAUCCCCACUGCAAAGAAUCAAAAUGAGAGCAAUUCCAAAAAUACAGAAAAUAAUUCAGAAAUCAAAAAGCAAAAUUGAAUGAACAAUAUUUACCUCCCUGGGCAAGUAGGAACCUCCCUGAGUUUCAGUUUCCUCAUCUGGCAAAUGAUUAAACAAUACCAUUCUCCCAAGAUUGCUUUGAGGACUGAAAGCAAUAAUGUGUCUAUUAAACAGCACAAUACAAAAGGUCCCUCAGCAAUCUUUCCUUCCUCCCUGUUUUUCUCCCCUCUUCCCUUCCUUUCCAUUUAAUUUCCUAUCUCACUUCAGUUUCUAUGUUCUUUGUGUUUUCAGGAUAAUAUUCUAUUUACUUAAGGGACACAAAGUAAAUAAAUGUUUUUGAAACUGAAUUGGAUUGAAGUGGAUCCAGAUUUUCACAGGAAAAAAAAGUUUCCUUUUCCCUUAGUUCUCCUUACACACCUGGCUUUGCAGGAAAAGAAAUUAUCAUUUGGAAACACACAUCUGCCUCAGCCACAGGUAGAAAAGGCUUGGACUACAUGUUUGGUUUGAAGUUUGAAAAUCUCAGUCCUUCCCCAACCAUCAAAAAUAUUUACCUCCCUCCCUUGUCUCACAAUCAUCUAAGCUGCCUUCUUGAAUUGACUCCCACACCUGUUCAUCAUAGAAGGAAAAAAAUAAAAGCAAAUGCCAUAUAAAAUCUCUCUUCUUCAACAAGGUCUUCUGUUUUGAAAUAUUGAAACAGUUCCUGUUCUAUUACCUCACCAGCUGUGGCCUUUUAUCUCCUAAAGGGAAUAGCUGACGUCUUACCAGUCAAAGUCAUUGUGCUUACGGACGCCAUAAAUAUCUCCUUUAAAUCCUACAUGAUAAAUUUCCCUCUGAUUGGUAAAGCAGAUACUGUAACAUGCAAAGGGGGAGCAGGAGAGUCUUUGAUGAUGUUAAACUAAGCCCCUGGAGAUAUCCCAGCUCUUCCUCCAGAAUUUUACUUUCCAACAACUGGAGUCAACAAAUACGGUAGAAAAUGUUGUCUGGAUUAUCUACUCCCAUUAUUUUUUUUUAAACUGGUUUUCAAUGAUGGGCAACCUAAAAUUUACUCACACAGAACACAAAACAGUUGAAUUUGUUAAAAGUCCAAAAUGUGCUUUUGUACUUUUGUAAAAUGGGAAUGUGCUUCUUGUACAAAUCACAAUAUGCUUUCUAGACCACAACCUAAAAAGGAAAGAAAAAAAUCCUGUGAAUAAAAAAAAAAAACAAGGACUUUCAGUUUUCUACAUGCAUUUGAAAUGACUUUAUCUCUGACUCAUGUUCUACUUUAUUUUUGAUUGGGAAGACCUGUUCCUAUACUGUAAUUUUUUUUUAAUAAUAAGUUUCCAUUUGUAACUAUUAGUUGGUCUUUCCACAAAAUUGGUUUGCUGGAAAGGACUGAGAAGAGAAAGAGCAUUCCUGGAUCAAUGGAACUGAUGAGUGUGGAAGUCCUUGAACUUGACCAAGCAUUGUCAAUUCUCAUAGUCUGACCAAAAAAAAACUAGAUUAUUUUGUGUGUUUUUCUUGGUGCUCCUAAUGUAAGUUUAUUCAAAUUGGGGGGGGGGCGGUGGGGGGAACAAACAAGUAGACUGCAGUUGUAAGAGAAAAAAGGUGAAAAUAAAUUAUUUUGGUGUUUUUUAUUACUUGGAACUUUAUUUAUUGUAGGAUAUAGAUUUAAGAUAAUUUUUUGUUUGUUUGUUUAUUUUAUUUUUAUUUAUUUAUUUGUUG
rnacentral:lncRNA from 1 species